CAGUCCCGCGCGGGCUCGCCCCUCGGGUCGCGAGAGGCGUUGGGAUCGCGGGCGCCGCCUGAGCCAGCGGCUGCUGGGAGGCAGUGUCCGCACGCCUACAAGGGGAGGCGGCCGGGCCCUGCGCCUCAAGUCCUGGCCUGGGGCACCAGGGCGGCAGGUGUGGGAGGCUGUGCGGGCGCCGGGUUGGCGGUUUGUCCAAUUGGGGCCUGCGCGGACCGCCCGCGGCGCAGCCUCCUGCCUCUCUCCAUGUCUAAGUGGUAGUGGCUGUAGGUUUUUCUGCAGGUGAUCCUUUUGAGUAAUUUGUUUCAGGCAGGCGCCCUGCUGUUGGGUAAAGCGGCAGAUUCAUGCUGCUGUCACUUGCCGUUCAAACGAUGGGCUUCGUGGCCGGGCGCGGUGGCUCAAGCCUGUAAUCCCAGCACUUUGGGAGGCCGAGACGGGCGGAUCACGAGAUCAGGAGAUCGAGAUCAUCCUGGCUAACAAGGCCUGAGAACUGGGAGGAAGCUGGAGAAAAGAUGCCCUCUGAAUCUUUCUGUUUGGCUGCCCAGGCUGGACUUGACUCCAAAUGGUUGAAAACAGAUAUACAGAUGCAGUCUCGCCCUGUCGCCAAGGCUGGAGUGCAGUGGCAUGAUCUCGGCUCACUGCAACCUCCGCCUCAGCUUCUCCUGCCUCAGCUUCCCGAGUAGCCGGUAUUACAGGCGCCUGCCACCACACCUGGCUAAUUUUUGUGUUUUUAGUAGAGACGGGGUUUCACCAUGUUGGUCAGGCUGGUCUUGAACUCCUGACCUUGUGAUCCGCCCGCCUCGGCCUUCCAAAGCGCUGGGAUUACAGAUGAUAGUGUCGAGCAAAGUGGAACAAAGAAAGAAGAUCUGGAUGACAGAGAGAAAAAAGAUGAAGAAACUCCUGCACCUGUAUAUAGUGCCAAGUCAAUUCUGGACAGCUGGGUAUGGGGCAAGCAACCAGAUGUGAAUGAACUGAAGGAGUGUCUUUCUGUGCUGGUUAAAGAGCAGCAGGCCCUGGCCAUCCAGUCAGCCACCACCGCUCUCUCAACCCUGUGACUCAAGCAGAGGCUGGUAAUCUUGGAGCACUGUUUCAUUGCCUUGAACCGUUUUUCAGGAGAAUGUCAAAGUUAAGUGGAAAAGCAGCAUCAUUUCCCUGCCUCCUGUGGACAAAAAAAGGUAAUAUAAAGCGAAGAAAGAAUCCUAAUGGGCCGGGCGCAGUGGCUCACGCCUGUAAUCCCAGCACUUUGGGAGGCCAAGGCUGGUGGAUCACGAGGUCAGGAGAUCGAGACUAUCCUGGCUAACACGGUGAAACCCUGUCUCUACUAAAAAUACAAAAAAAAUUAGCCAGGCAUGGUGGUGGGUGCCUGUAGUCCCAGCUACUUGGGAGGCUGAGGCAGGAGAAUGGCGUGAACCCAGGAGGCAGAGCUUGCAGUGAGCUGAGAUCCGUGUUACUGCACUCCAGCCUGGGCGGCAGAGUGAGACUCCGUCUCAAAAAAAAAAAAGAAUCGUAAUGCCAGUUAAAUAUAAAAUUCAGACUGUUUUGUUUCAGAAAGUUUAAUUAAGAUUUUCAGUAUAGUGUCUGUCUUCACCUUCUGAAAUUUAUUCUUGCUUUCCCUUUUUGUAUGUUUUAUGUAAUCUGGAGAAUGGAUUUGCCAAUUUGCUCAUGUAGUAACAGACCGUACUAUGUAAUCUCUGUCAUUAUUUAUUUUAUUCAAUUAAAUUUUUUUGUUUCUUUUUUUUUCUCGAGAGGCAACGUCUUGCACUGUCACCCAGGCUGGGGUGCAAUGGUGUAAUCAUAGCUCAUUCUAACCUUGAAAUCCGGGUCUCUAGUGAUCCUCCUGCCUCAGCCACCUGAGUAGCCGGGACUACAGGCACAUGCAACCAUGCCUGGCUAAAUAAAAAUAAUUUGGGUGUGUGUGUGUGUGCAUGGGGAUGUGGUCUUGCUCCUGGCCUCAAGCAAUCUUCCUGCUUCAACCGCUCAGAGUACUGGGAUUAUAGACGUGAGACACUGCGCCUGGCUCUGUGUCAUUAUUUUAAAGACGUUUUUCUGUCAGUAACUGUGGAAGCCAGCCAAAGCUUUAGAUCAGCUCAAGUAUAAAUUGGAAAAUGAGUUCUGAACAUUGUGUACAUUUUAUUUUGUUUUGCUGCUGGGUAAGGAGAUAGAUUGUAAUGUUUAGUGCCCAUCUAGUUUAGAUGCUUCAUGUUUUUCCUUCCUAAUGUGAUUUUCUUAUUCUUUUAUUACAAGAGAUGCUUUUGGGCCGGGCACGGUGGCUCACGCCUGUAAUCCCAGCACUCUGGGAGGCCGAGGCGGGUGGAUCACCUGAGGUCAGGAGUUCGAGAUCUGACCAACAUGGAGAAACCCCGUCUCUACUAAAAAUAAAAAAAUUAGCCAGGGUGUGGUGGCUCAUGCCUGUAAUCCCAGCUACUCGGGAGGCUGAGGUAGGAGAAUUGCUUGAACUGGGGAGGUGGAGGUUGCGGUGAGUGGAGAUCGUGCCGUUGGACUCCAGCCUGGGCAACAAGAAUGAAGCCCUGUCUCAAAAAGAAAAAAAAAAAAAGUGGGGAUGCUUUUGGGCAUAUGAGUUUUAAUUUGUUGACGCCUGAUAAUAUAUUACAGAUUUCCUCUAUUUGCUAACAGGCACUAGAAUGUUUAAAGCUUAUGUAAAAUUGUACUUUUCCAAAAUGAAGCUGUCUAUCAGACUUUUGUCCUCAGAAGGUUAAACUACAAGAUUGCCAGAUGAAACUAUAUUUUGUGUAGUUAGGAGUGUUGGCUUUAUUUGACUGUGAUAGUGACUUUGACUCCCUGGAGAGCACAUAGAAGGUACAGGAGGCAGGAAGAAACAAGAGCAAAACCCUGAUCGUCUUGCUUCCCAGAGACAGGAGCAAUACUUGUAGCCUGUUUCCUUGUUUUCUUACGUUUUAAUUUUUGUGUUUGUUUUCCUUUUUUGUUUCCUUAUGUUUAAAUAUAGUUGAAAUCACAUUACAGUUGGCUCUCUGUCUGUAUCUGUGGGUUUCACAUCCACAGAUUCAACUAAUUGUGGAUCGAAAAUAUUGGAAGAAAAGCCAUAAAAAACAACACAACAAUUAAAAAAUACAAACAACAAUACAAUAUAACAACUAAUUACAGAGCAUUUACCUUGUAGUAGGUGUUAAUCUAGAGAUGAUUUUGUUUGUUUGUUUGUUUGGACAUGGGGGUCUCACUGUUACCCAGGCCAGUGGGGCUAUCAUGGCUCCCUGCAGCCUUGACCUCCUGGGCUCAAGUGAUUCUCCCACCUCAGCCUCCCAAGUAGCUGGGACUGCAGGCGUGUGCCACAAUGGCUGGCUAAUUUUUGUAUUUUUUGUAGAGCCGGGGUCUCACUGUGUUGCCCAGGCUGGCCUCUAACUCCUGGCCUCAAGUGGUCUGCCUGCCUUGGCCUCCCAAAGUGCUGGGAUUACGAGCAUGAGCCACCACACCUGGCCAAUUUUUUUUUUCUUUAAUUUGUAUAGAUGGGGUAUUGCCAUGUUGCCCGGGCUGGUCUUGAACCCCUGGGCUCAAGUGACCCUCCUGCCUCGACAUCCCAAAGUGUUGGGAUUAUAGGUGUGAGCCACUGUGCCUGGCUGAGAUCAUUUAAAUUAUACAGGAGGAUGUGCACAGGUUAUAUGCAAAUACUACACCAUUUUAUAUCAGGGUCUUGAGCAUCCUAGGGUUUUGGUAUGGAGCCAGGGGUGGGGCAGGCCUGGUACCAAUCCCCUGCAGAUACCAAGGGAUGACUGUACGUUUUGUAUUUUUGAAAAUAGUUUUAGAGUAAAUUAAACCAAGAGACAGAUGAGAGUCCUACCCAUUUGGUAAUAGGAGUGCCAUCAGGAAGGUUCUUUCCUUCCUUCCUGACCGGCUGUGAUGGUCAUGAAUCAGAGUGUUAUGUACAGGUGGGCGGUAGGUGCUAAGAUUGUCCAAGCACUGUUGUGUGUUUGUCGAAUCAAACUGAAUUCCCUCAGCUGCAGAAAUGGCUGAGAGCCCAGCUGAUUUUUCUCUGUGCUAUUUCCUUUGUGAUGACAUAGGGUUGAUGGAUUAAUUGGAAUAUAGCUUUCAUUAAUUGGAAGAAUUCCUAAAAUUAAAAAAAAAGCCUCUUUUUGAGAUAAUUGUGGAUUCACAUACAGUUGUAAGAAAUAGUAUAGAGAUUCUUUUACUGUUCGCCCCAUUGCCCUCAAUGGUAGCUAGUUGCAAACUAUGACACAGUCAUCAGAACUAGGGUGUUUACUUUGAUAGUCUGCCUAUCUUAUUCAGAUUUUCCCAGUUUUACAUGCUCUCAAUUGUAUGUGUAUUUCUUUGCAGUUUUUUCAUGUGUGGAUUUUCUGAGACCUCCACUGCAAUCAGGGUACAUAGACAAGGGCCCUUUAUACCCACAUUCACAUCUUCUCUCCCCACCCUACCUGCUGGCAACCACUCAUCUGUUCUCUGUGUCUAUUAUGUGAUUUUUUGACAUUGGCUUUUUAAUUUUUUAUUAUCGUUAUUACUGUAAUUUUUGGAGACAGAGUCUCACCCUGAUGCCCAAGCUGGAGUGCAGUGAUACAAUCAUAGCUCACUGCAGCCUCAGACUCCUGGGCUCAAGCAGUCCUCUCAUUUCAGCUUCCUGAGUAGCUGGUACCACAGAUGCAUGACACCACACCCAGCUCAUUUUGUAUUUGUAGAGACUGGGGUCUUGUUAUGUUUCCCAGGCUUGUCUUGAACUCCUGGCCUCAAGCAAGAUUGACUUUUUUCACUUAGCAUAAUCCCCUUGACAUUUUCCCAAGGAGGUCGUUGCAUGUAUCAUUAUUGCUGAGUAGUGAUUUUUUUUUUUUGGAGACAGUCUUGCUUUGUUGCCCAGGCCAGGCUGGAGUGCAGUGGUGCGAUCUUGGCUCACUGCAGCCUCCACCUCCCAGGUUCAAGCAAUUCUGCCACAGCCUCCCAAGUAGCUGGGACUACAGGCAUGCACCACCAUGCCUGGCUAAUUUUUGUAUUUUUAGUAGAGACGGGGUUUUGCCAUGCUGGCCAAGCUGGUCUCAAACUCCUGACCUAAAGUGACUCACCAACCUCCUCUGACCACACUUGGCCCAUGUGCUUUCUCUUGUAAGGACUGUGUGUCCUGUUACAUGUCUGUGUCUUCUCAUGUUCAUAUUUCUCAUUUAGGAUUCAGGAGCAAAGAUUUCCGUCUUCCAGGUACCCAGUGCCCUUCUCAGAGGUUCUCGUGUUUCCUCUCUGAGCUCCCGGUGCAUUAUUCAGGCACUUGUGGAUAAGCGUGUACCGUUGCCCUGGCCAGCCGUGUUCUUCUUUGCCAUUUUUAUUACACAUCGUAUCUUGGGGAGAUCCUUCCAUAACAUCCCUGUUUGUUGUUUUUUUGUUUUUUGAGAUGGAGUCUCGCUCUGCCUCCCAGGCUGGAGUGCAGUGGUGCAAUCUUGGCUCACUGCAGCCUCCGCCUCCCAGGUUCAAGUGAUUCGCCUGCCUCAGCCUCUGAGUAGCUGGGAUUACAGGCAUGCCACCACCACACCUGGCUACUUUUUAUAUUUUUAGUGGAGACAGGGUUUCGUCCUUUUGGCCAGGCUGGUCUUGAACUCCGUAUCACCUGUUUUUAUAGCGUAUCCCCUGAUCAUGAAAGCAAAUUUUAGUAAAUUUGGAGAAUAUAGUCUAUAGUAGCAAUACUGUAAUAUACAUAUAUUACAAAUAUGAUAUAGUAUAAAGUAUAAAACAAAAUUACUUUCUAUGCAUGAUUGAGUUGAGAUUAUGCCUUUUUGUAUUCUAGGCUUUUCUCUCUUGUACAGGAUGAUUUUUAUGGUGUACCAUUGCAUAACCUUUUACUACAUGCGGAAUGAAACUGUGACUUGUGAAAUUAACAUACACAAGUAGUGAAGAGCUUAAAAACACACAGGAGGGUGAUGAGCACCACCCUCAGAACAGGGCAACUCCCCACGGGGUGGGUCAAGCACACAGGGCUUCACCCAUGGCCAGGAGCAGACCCCGAGUGGAGGACGUCGGAGCUGGGGCGAGCCAGGCUACCCCGUGCGGCUCUGCUGCUCUUCUUCCAGCUCCUCUCUGGCCUGGUCUCCCAUGUGGGGUUUAUUCUCCCUCUGUUUAUGUAUUUAUCUGUUUAUCGUCUGCUUCCUCCCACUAGAAUCUCACUUUGGGAGGUCAUUUCAUGAGCAUUUUCCCAAGACAUUUAAAAUUCCUUAUACAUUUCUUUGAUUCUUAAAGAGAAAACUUUUCCUUUACAAAAGACAUUUGAUGAAAGUUGUUAAACAACAAAACGAAAAAUCCACUUGUGAUCCUGUCACUUGAAGAAAACCAUUGGUCGGAUUUUGGUACACACGCUUUCGUAGUAUUGAUUUUAUGUAGUAUCUGCACCCUCUGCUGCUAACUGGUUGUAUGUUCCGUGUGUGUCAUCUGCAGUUCCCGGCCUCUGAGGAAAGGUGUGGAGGGUUUCUUCCCUUGAAAUACUGUUCACAUGACAAUGAGAAGGAUGGAAUAAAACACAAAAAAGAUAAGCAAUUUUUUUUUUUUUGAGGCGGAGUCUUGCUGUGUCGCCCAGGCUGGAGUGCAGUGGUGCGAUCUCUGCUCACUGCAAGCUCCGCGUCCUGGGUUCCCGUCAUUCUCCUGCCUCAGCCUGCGAAGUAGCUGGGACUACAGGCGUCCGCCACCACGCCCAGCUAAUUUUUUGUAUUUUUAGUGGAGACGGGGUUUCACCGUGUUAGCCAGGAUGGUCUCGAUCUCCUGACCUUGUGAUCUGCCCGCCUUGGUCUCCCAAAGUGCUGGGAUUACAGGCUUGAGCCACUGCGCCCGGCCAACAGGCAAAUUUUUCGCUGGGGAAGUAGUAGACCAACCAUCUGUGCUUAUUUCUUCUAAACAGAGCUGGGAAUGAGUAACAGCUGUUGAACAGGAACACUUGCUCCCCAAGCACUACUUGCUUUUCAUGAAGAAGGAAAAAAGGCAAAAGCCCUGCUACAUUUACAUUGCAAAAUUGUUUUCAAAUGAGGAUUAACAGGAUGUUAGUUCCCUCUCUGUUGAACACAUAAAAUAUUAAAAGGCAGUCCUAAUACAUCUAUAUACAGCACAUCAGGAGGAAGGAGGAAGUCAUUUCUCCUGACUUUACCAACUUGUCUUAUUUGAAACUGAUACUGUGCCCUAUUGGCUGAUAGGAGUUUCACUUUAUUUAGAAUACAAUAGAAUUUGGCUCAGAUUCACACCAAAAGUAUAGUAUUUUGAUGUGCACUUACACGAUUUCAGGGGAAAACAAUAUCUGGAAUGUGACCCUGGAAUUCAUUACAAGUCAGUUAAAGGGAUCUCUCUUAGAAUUUUUUGAUAAUUGGACUGGGACAGGAUGUAAGAAUAAAUCAUUAACAGUAGAUGAGGAAAACACUUGACGAGAGCUUUCUCGUCUUACCAUUACUGCUCUUUCUAUCAGAGGUUAAAGACAGAAUGGGGACCAUGUUGUGGUUGUUAUUCUUGUUGUUUGAUUGGUUUGUUUAUUAUGCUCUUGCAUGACUUGGUUAUGUGGCUGGAUAUGAAAAUUCUUUCCAUUUCCAGAGUCAUAAAUCUCCUAAUUUCUAGGAGAUUAAAUACUGGUUUUAUCUUUGGCUCCAGUAAAAAUGUUGCUAUCUUGGAUUAAAAGAAGGUUGGGAAAUACGUUGUGUCUAUUCACCAGUGAAUGGGAACCCCUUCUACAACAAAUUUUCCAUUCAAACCAUUUCUAGGCCUCCCUUCCUGGUUCUGAUAGCAAAUGUGAAAGCAAGUACUAGAGAUUUGGGUUUUGUAAGUUUCCUCAAAUACUUGGGAAAUACUGGAUUCCGUUGCCAAGUGUUGCCUUUUGUACAUUCAGCUUCUACACAGCACGUUUUCUCUAUAUUGAAAGUCCUAAUCCUUGAAAUCUCAGAAUGGAAAAGAGUUAUAUGACUAAUUUUAUGUGCCAGGAUUAUGGGAAUAAACUUUCAUGGAAGGUAGGAAGCUUACAGGGCAUUUAGAGAAAGGAGACAUCUGUAGAAUCAAUUCAAAAUGAUUAAGCCCCUUGUGAUCUCACUAUCUCACUUCAAUUGUUAAGCCACAAAACUCUUUUUAAGUUAAUCUCUAACAUUUAUUUGGCUUUAUAAUUACAUAUAAAUAAUGUCUCAAUUUGACACCUAUGUUUCCAAACUUAAUAAUGAAGUCAAAAUAAACAGAAUUAAGGAGAGCUUAUUACGAUCUUUAUUGUUAUUUAUAUAUAACAAAUUUCCUAUUAAGAAUAUAAUAUUUUAUGAUAUCUUAUGGAUGUCAUUAACAUUGCUUUAAUAAAGGUAUUAUCAUGCUUUGUACAGCAACCAACACGAAAAUGUUACUAUACCACUGCAAUAAAUAGAAUAAAAACAUGUUCAGAAAGACUUAGAAACUCAUUAAAGAAUGGAUGUUAAUCACUUUUCACCCUAACUCCUCAUUUGGCAAGGCAUGAAUCUAUGCAUUCCAGUUUAGACAGGUGGCAAGUAAGUAGUCCCAUUGCAUUUCAUAAAAUAAGCAGCUGUGUGAAUUUGAAAGAUACUAUUUCCACAUGAAAAGCUAAUGACUGCACAUGUAAAAUCAGUAGUGUUUAGGAAGCUGUCAUUUAAAAAACAACAAACUACCUAAUUAAAAAGUAGCACAAAUGAACUUUUGCCUGUGUACAAAAUAGAACAUUGCUUAGCCUUUUCUUAAACCCCUCCCCAAUUCUUACCAAGAAAGGAUAAAUACCUUUAUUAUAGUCAAAGCUCUGUUUUUAUGGUUUUAAAUUUUUUAAUCUAAAAUUCAAAGCAAAUAAUCAAUCUUUAAUUUAUAUUUAUCCCAAUUUGAUUCAAAGUGACGGUCCAAAAGUAAAAUGAUCAAUUAUAACUAUAAUCAACCACAAAUAAUGCUAUAUGAGUUUGAAAUGUUAAUCUAAGUUGCCUUUUCCAGGUAUGCAUUUUAAAAUUAAACUCUUCUCAGUAAGAUCAAGGCUAUCCUUCAUGGAUUUAUGAUGUUUGAUAAUCACCACGUUGUACUGAUUUGCUGUCUCACUUCACUGUUUGAUAUCAACAUAUGAAAGUAAAAAUGCUAUUUAGGGGAUAACUAUUAUCUGAGCACUAAUAAAUUAAAUGCUAUUUUAAGCCAACAACAAAAUUGUUUAGGGUACAAUUUUUAUUUAACCAACUGUCCAUUAUAAACAUUGUAAAAUUCUGAAAGAUCCUAGAAUCUUAUAUAGCUUUUUUGUAUUUUUUCAAAUGUAAUUGACACCAGCAUGAAUUAAAUUUCAUAUUUAAAAAGCUUCUGACUACAUUACAACAUACUUUAAAAUUACUUGCAAGAUAUGAUAAUUCUAAGAUUACCCACAUAUCAUGCAAACGAAACACCCAGGUACUUCCUACCAACACAUGAUACAAUAAAAUCCAGAAGAACUUCUGAAUUAGAGUGUAGUAGUUGCCUAGGACCAUCAUACCUAACUAUCACACACUUGGUGGGUUAAGAGGACAGAAAUAUAUUCUCUCAUAGUUCUGAAGCCUGGACCUCUGAAAUCAAGAUGUUGGCGGGGCCACACUCCCCCUGAAGACCCUAGGGAAGAAUUCUCCCUCGCUUCUUCCUGGCUUCCAGUGGCUCCUGGCAAUCCUUGGCCUUCUUUGAUUUAUGACUGCAUAACUCCAAUUUCUGUCUCCAUCUUCACAUGAACUUGUGUGUGUCUUUUCCUGUAUGUUAUAAGGACAUUUACACUGGAUUUAGGGCCCACCUUCAUCCAGGAUGACCUCAUCUCAAUCACUGGGUUAAUUAUAUCUGCAAAGACCCUACUUCCAAAUAAAAUCACAUUCUAAAGUUCCUAAUGGACAUAAAUUUUGGAGGUACGGUAUUUAAAUCACUACAUAGAACAUGUAAAGACAAAAAUCUGGAAGCUACCUGAAUGAAAAUGGAUAUUCCCUUGAACUUCAACAAAAUCAUAUUCUAUUUUUCCAUGAGAAACAUUUUAGUACUCUAAAACAAUAUUCAUAUUUCACAAGUACACCUCUUAAAUUAUAGCUUGGACUUAAGAAAAAUAAUUAGCUUUGGAAAUUAUCAGUACAUGAUAUCUAGUAUUUCCUAUAUUUUUAAGAACUUCUACCUCCUAGCAAAAAUAAACAAUGCAAUGGAUAAUUUCUGUGUUCUAAGUUUACACACACAAACAGGAAAGGGACUUUAAAAAUGAUUUAUUCUUUUUUAAAGCAGAAGCCCAACCACCUGCUCUGAAUCUAAAAGUUUCCUGAAAGCAAUGAAGGGCUAGUUUAUUAUGAAGGUGUUGAUAGCUGAUUCUGUGGAGACUCACACAGAAACAAAGAAUAAAUUUUAAUCACACUUAAUGCUAAUGUGGUAGUAAGGUUGUGACAAUAUUCAAAUAUGACUAAUUUCAUUGAAUUAACUACACUCGGGCUUAGCUUAGUUGUCCAAAUUACAAAUAGCUCAAACUAAAUAAUUCAACUCUUCUGCUUUCUAUUUAUUUUUUGUUGAUGCUUAAGAGUAAAAAGAUAUUUCAACUGAAUUUUUUUUUUUUUUUUUUUUUUUUAGCAAUCAGUUCUCUUGCUUUAUCACCAUAAGACUGUAAACAGCCAUAACAGGUCACUGAAUCUAGCACUGCCUUCAACAAGAAGUGCACCUAGAGCAGGAAUAUAGUACUUGGCACUCAUCUCUAGGCCUAUAACCUAACAGAUUUUUUUUUUUGUCUGUCUUUGGUGAAAGUAACGUAAAUUUAGAGCUGGAAAGGACCUUAGAGGUCAUCUAGUCCCACCUAAGCAUCUUUGAAAACAAAAUAAAGAAGUAUGUUGGCCUGAUGCGGUGGCUCACGCCUGUAAUCCCAGCACUUUGGGAAGCCAAGGCGGGCAGAUCACAAGGUCAGGAGAUCGAGACCAUCCUGGCUAACAUGGUGAAACCCCGUCUCUACUAAAAAUACAAAAAAUUAGCCGGACAUCGUGGCAGGUACCUGUAGUCCCAGCUACUCGGGAGGCUGAGGCCGGAGAAUGGAGUGAACCCAGGAGGCAGAGCUUGCAGUGAGCCGAGAUCGUGCCACUGCACUCCAGUCUGGGCAACAGAGCGAGACACCGUCUUAAAAAAAAAAAAAAGCAUGUUUAUUUCAUCAUUUUGUACUUAUACACUGUGUAUUUCCAGAAAAGCCCCUGAGACAGCUUAGAAUGAAAGGCACAGACACUAUAAAACAAGGGCAAAAUGACAGAAUAAUGAAGAGAAAGAGGUGACAAUUACACGGGACAACCUAGGGAAGGAAACACUACCCUUCAGCCUAAAAUUUAGUCCUAAGCCCCUUGUUCUUAAAGGCCAGAAGGAAAACCAGAUUUCAAAUAGGUAUCGUUAGUUAAUAAAAUAGUAUCUGGAUAUAUCAGCAGCUAUUUUUUGGUAACUCUAAACUCAAGCAAAAUAUAUGUCUUUAAGCAACAGACAAUGGACAAUAUAAUAAAAAUAAUCUUCCAUAGCAAUUUCCAAACUUUUAAAGAUGUAAGAACAAAUGAUCUUUUCUUACAGGAUGCUUAGUUGAAAGCUGCCCGCAUGAUGGUAUUUUAAAUUACAUAAUGUUAAAUUCCCUGCAUGAUGGUAUUUUAUUGGGACCUGGUUAUAUGAUUUGGUGAAGAAUGUAACCUUUGAGAACUUAGAAGAGUGAAUGGUUAAUA